rnacentral:tRNA from 1 species
GGUAAGAUGGCCGAAUGCCAGGCGGUGGGUUGUAGCCCCAAUAAUGUAGGUUAAAUUCCUACUCUUACCA